GCAACGAUUGCUUGAACCGUUGUCAUAAAGCCACCUAUGUCAACACAUAAUUGACAAAAAAAAAAAGCUAUUGCAUCGGUUGUGAUUUAUUCUCUCCCAAAUUUUUCACAAAAUCCGCCAAAGAUUAAAGAAAUGUAUAACCAAAAUUAAAUAAAUAUAUAACAAAAAAAUUUCACUCUCAGUCGACAACCGGUACUCUUGUGCCGACUGCCAAUGCUCCGACCACUAGUGCUCCGACUUUCAAUCUGACUAUCGCUUUGACCACAAGUGCUCCGACCACAAAUCAGUCACUACCAUUAGCCCGAUUUACAAUAGCCCAAUUUACAAGCAUAAAGAAGCUUUCGAUUGAACCCUCUAGGCGUCUAUAAAAACAGGCCGGUGUUGAUUAGUUCAGCGACGAAGUAAGAAAUAUCACGUUAUUUGAUCUCUCUGCAACAUUUUACUUUCAAUUUUCGUCGUUAGAUCUGGGGAUUUGUUACUGUCCGGUCUGAUUUUUCAAUCAUUUGUUUAUCAAAUCUGUACGAGGAUCCGAGCGAUUCACGAUUGGUUUUGAUGUUUUAUGCUGUAAUUUUAGUGAAUUUGUACAGUUUAUGUUGAAUUUAAUUGUUUUCAGAGUUUAUAGAAUUGUCAAUGACUAAGAUCCCAGCAAUUUGCGUGUAUUUUCACCGUUCUAUGUUGUAAUUUUAGUGAAUUUGUAUAGUGUACAUCGUACUUCAUCAUUUAUAGAUUUUAUGGCAUUAUCGAUGCCUAUGGACUGAAUGUGUUUUAAUUCUGUAUA
rnacentral:lncRNA from 1 species